rnacentral:rRNA from 1 species
CAGCCGCCGCGGUAAUACGGAGGGGGCUAGCGUUGUUCGGAAUUACUGGGCGUAAAGCGCACGUAGGCGGCUUUGUAAGUCAGAGGUGAAAGCCCGGGGCUCAACCCCGGAAUUGCCUUUGAGACUGCAUCGCUUGAAUCCAGGAGAGGUGAGUGGAAUUCCGAGUGUAGAGGUGAAAUUCGUAGAUAUUCGGAAGAACACCAGUGGCGAAGGCGGCUCACUGGACUGGUAUUGACGCUGAGGUGCGAAAGCGUGGGGAGCAAACAGGAUUAGAGACCCCAGUAGUCCCUGUCUCUUAUAU